AGGUCUGUGAUGACUAGCCCACUGCGCAAUCUGAGUUCAUUUGAACUGUAUGAAAGAAACAGUGCUGUAAAGUAGUCUGAGACCU